GUUCUUUAUAACUGUUGUGUUUGAUUCCCUUCUCUUUACUUAGAUUAAAAUUUAGUCUAACAUGCAAGUUGUCCAUUAAAAUGCAACCUCACUGCAAUGUGUCUUUCUUAACUCUUUCUCAGCAGGGUCCAUUACGCGUAGAACGUGCUGUAAUUCGUUCAUAUCUUUGGUUCAGUACACGCUAUGUAGAUGAAAAUACCACCAUUCGAUUCAGUAUAAAAAUAUACACUAAUUUUUAACGAUAGUUUUAGUCAGUGGCUAAAUUGUAGCGAUUUAUGAGCUUUGAAAGUCAAGCGAGCUUGUAUUUGAUCAAAUUACACAAUAUUACUAACAAAUUUAUAAACAUAGACGAGGAUGGCUAAAUGGCGUGGGUGGGUGGGUCGUGCGUCGUGGGUACGGUGUUGGGCGUCGUAUAGACAAUGAAAAUAUUUUUUAAGACGGAUAGACGGCAGACGGACGGACGGAUGGAUGAGAGGGUAAAAAACGGAUAUGAAGGCAUAUAGAGUGGUAUUUGUAUUUUUC